rnacentral:lncRNA from 1 species
CGGCCCUUGGUGGUAACAGCUGAGGAGGACCAAAUGAGGUGCUCACUACUUAUCGGGAGUGGCUCUGUUUGAUGCAGCCCUAUGCUGUGGAUCAGUAUUCAUACCAUGGUUGGUUUACAAACUCAGAUCCCAACAGUAACGUGAUAAGGCCAUUAUCACUCAAGCACUUGUGGCCAUUGUACAAGGGGCCUCCCCUGGAAUUUGGUUAUCUUGUUCAGGAUUUACUCUGUAUCUGAGUUCCCUGCUCCUGCACCCCAUGGAUCUGUGCAUCCAUUGCACUGGGAGGAGAGGGAUACUCUCUGUAUCUGAGUUCUCUGCUCCUACACCCCAUGGAUCUGUGGAUCCAUUGCACUGGGAUUGAGAGAGACUCAGUGUUCCUUUGAUCAGCCCUUGCACAUCGCUGAGGUUUCCUCAUUGCCCGCGAUAGGGUGAUCAUUUCUGCUAUAAAAUUAUAAUUAUAAGGGUGAGAUGUAGAGGGCCGCAAUAACAUUCGCAACCACUCGUUGGCGCUGUCUUCCACUGCGCCCCACAUGGAAGGCCAAGUCAGUCAAGAUGGCACCAGCCUUCGCUGCGCCAGCUGGCCCCCCUUUCAGGUAGUUAACUGUGCGCAUGUGCAAGAGUGCCUUCCUGCCAGGUCUUUGCCCAUUCCGGGGCGUGCCUGAUGAGAUCAUGAGUAAACAACCAAUCAGGUGUGGAUGCGUGCUCGAGGGUUAAAUAGGCGCGCCUGGCUGGCGCGCAGGGCUUCUCCAUGAGAUAGGAAUAAAGUAUCACUCAUAGCAAGAAUUUCUAUGUCUCGCGUGCUUCUUGCCGGCGGAAAGUCACGCGCGGGACAUUUGGUGCCGAAACCCGGGACAAAAACAUCGCCGGCGCUACGAGAGGCCUCCGUUUCACGGAAGAAAUUCAGAAGCUAUGGAAUACAGGUAAAAAACUCUGAGAGACCAUGGCUAGCCUUGAUCUGCUCCAACUCAGUCCCCUGCCGGACGCGGCAGGUGCCGCUGUGGUUGCUCUGGCAACCCUCCGGCUUUUUCUAUUGACCUUUGAGUUUCUAGCUACCGCCAAACGGCGUCAGAGGUCGCGUGGGAACUGCCCAGCUGUAACAGCAAAGCGGAGAGCGUUGGGGGCAGGGAGAGACAGUCAGUCAGAAACAGAGGAUAGUGAAAAGUUGCAACGAGGAAAGGAUCCUGAUCGAUCUCAAGCACCAGGCCCCCCUGCGGUCUUACCACCGCCAGGGGUGAAAAAUUGGGGAAAGAAUGCCCCGGGUGAGAAGGGAGGAGGUAAAAGGAACACAGUAUUUUGGGAGAAAAACUUUGUCUUAGUGCUUAUGAAAGGUGUAAUUAAGCUCCCGCGCCGGCUCUGGGGAUGCUGCGGCAUCCGGGUGCUGACGCGACAGCUUUACAGAGUCAUACUGAUCAGAUUUGAUAGAGGCAGACCGCCUGAAAAUUUAUUCAGGAGAAUCAAACAAAAGGACAUCUCAGUCCCCGUGCACAGCCUGAUAGAGUUAAUGUAAUUGGGUUGUGAGUAAAAAUACUCAGGGCUGUGUUUCACUUCCAUACCAUUGGCGAAUGUCGGUCAUACUGUUCAGAUAUCUCUCAGUUUCUUACAGAAUUGGGUUUCAACACGUUGGUGGACUAGUCCAGGAAUUGAGACAAUCCAUCGCCCAUAUCAGCUCCACUCGAUGGAUAGUCGCCGUGAACACCAUCUGGCUUUUUCCCCUCUUUGUCUAUUGUUUGUCUCUGGUGCACCAGGCUGUCCAUGUCUGUCAGUUUAUGUCUGUGGUUUUUGUUUCUCGUUGCUUAAAUGUUUUAUGUUUCGUGGUCAAAAG